UAGGGAAUCUUCCACAAUGGGCGAAAGCCCGAUGGAGCAACGCCGCGUGUGUGAUGAAGGGUUUCGGCUCGUAAAACACUGUUGUAAGAGAAGAAUGACAUUGAGAGUAACUGUUCAAUGUGUGACGGUAUCUUACCAGAAAGGAACGGCUAAAUACGCGCCAG
rnacentral:rRNA from 1 species